UGCUGCUUGUGGGAUGGUGUAUCCAGUGGUGAACAUGUGUUAAAAAAUGGCCUUUUUUCAGGCUUUAUUAUAUAUUGAACACAUGUAAUUAUUCGGAAACGAAGAAAAGAUGCUGUUAUUUGGUUUGGGCACUCAUCAGUUGACAGGAGGCGAUCUGGUGCACAGGGUUUUGGAAGCAGCUCUUGCAGCCAACUACAGACUAAUUGACACUGCUUCAGUUUAUCGUAAUGAGACCGAUAUUGGCACCUCACUACAAAAGUUGUAUCCUCAACUGAACCUAAACCGAUCAGAUAUAUUUAUUACAACAAAACUAGGACCCAAAGAUCAAGGCUACGACAAGGCCUACAGGGCGUGUCUCAAAUCUAUAGAGAAGCUGCAGUGCGAGUACUUAGACCUGUACCUAAUUCACUGGCCUGGCAGGCAGAAGCUGAAGCAUGAUGAUGAGCAGAAUAGAAGCUACCGAAAGGAGAGUUGGAGGGCGAUGGAGAGGCUCUACAAAGAAGGAAAAGUGAAAAGCAUUGGUGUGUCAAAUUAUACCAUUCGUCAUCUGGAAGAACUUCUUUCUCAUGCAGAAAUACCACCGUCAGUCUUGCAAGUGGAGUUUCAUCCAUAUUAUCGUCAACAAGAACUGUUAGAUUGGUGCAAAGAGCACAACAUCAGGAUGCAAGCCUACACUUCACUUGGGAAAGGAAAGCUGUUACUGGAUCCAGUUGUCAUUCAGAUAGCAAAAAAGCACGGGAAGAAACCAAGUCAAGUUCUCCUGAAGUGGGCAGUCCAACAAGGAAUAGGUGUGAUUCCAAAGUCCACCAACCCAGAACACAUUCAAGAUAAUUCUGCAAUAUUUGACUUUGAACUCUGUUCCCAAGACAUGGACAUGCUCAACGGUCUUCAUAGCAACACUAAAUAUUGCUGGGAUCCUUCUGACAUUGCCUGAUAAAUAAAUAUUUAUACCUGGUUGUGCACCUGUCUGAUAACACCCAAAUUAUGGUAAAAGCAAGUUAUGUGGAAUACUGUUUAUGUAGACACGUCGUCGUGAAGUUUGGAAUGAUGUUUCUUCUAAAUUUGGAAAAUGUACAGAUAUUGUCUCAGGUCAAAUCUACCGAUCCACCAAGGUGCAAGAUCGAUGUACUAUAAUUGUUACCGGAUCAACACGAUGUAUAUUAAGUAGCCGGAACACAAUGUACUAUCAUUAGCCGGAUCUAUGUGAUAUACAGAUAAUUGCACACGGAUAUUUAUUAGGUUUUAUACCACUGGAUCAUCGGAAUUUAAAUUAAAUUUGGAAGUUAUGUUUCUUGAUUAACGAACAAGUAAUCCUCGAACGAUAUUACGUACUUAAAUAUAAUCAGGCUUAAUCAUUAUAUUAUAUUAUAUAACACUGCAUUACAUUUAUUUAGUUCUGAUGCAACA
rnacentral:misc_RNA from 1 species